GUGGGGAAUAUUGGACAAUGGGCGCAAGCCUGAUCCAGCCAUGCCGCGUGAGUGAUGAAGGCCUUAGGGUUGUAAAGCUCUUUCAGUGGGGACGAUAAUGACGGUACCCACAGAAGAAGCCCCGGCUAACUUCGUGCCAGCAGCCGCGGUAAUACGAAGGGGGCUAGCGUUGUUCGGAUUUACUGGGCGUAAAGCGCACGUAGGUGGAUCGUUAAGUCGGGGGUGAAAUCCUGGAGCUCAACUCCAGAACUGCCUUCGAUACUGGCGAUCUUGAGUCCGGAAGAGGUGAGUGGAACUCCUAGUGUAGAGGUGGAAUUCGUAGAUAUUAGGAAGAACACCAGUGGCGAAGGCGGCUCACUGGUCCGGUACUGACGCUGAGGUGCGAAAGCGUGGGGAGCAAACAGGAUUAGAAACCCUGGUAGUCC
rnacentral:rRNA from 1 species